CGCACAGGCACAGAAUAUAUAAGCAGAGAGAUCUCUGUUGGACUCUGAGUGACUACUGACUCUGCCUGAAUUAUCUUGCUUUCACAUCUGUCCUCUCCAUUCUCCUUGGUUUGCGAACCCACAGGCUUUUGGCUAAGAGAAAGGAAUCUGGGAGAGAUGCUAAUCUUAAAAUAAUUCCUGCUAGUGCAGAGGACAACAGUCUGGAUUGUACUAUGUCUUUAUUUGAACUGACUAUAAGAUGGACGCCUGCAGUGGUCACGUGACUGGCAAACAGGAGGCACGCAUAUCAAACAUGACAACACAUUACUGGAGGCUGAUUGCAGUUCAUGCUCAGAUAUAUGUCUUAACCGUUUGAACCCUCGCCUGCUGAAACAAGUCAUUGGUACAUUGAGAGGAGCGAUAGAGUGUGGAAUGAGGAAUCAGUUACACCAUCGUGACAUCACUCUUCACGUUCCUUCAUCCUCUUCCCUUUAUCUUGUUCCUCUCCUUGGUGCAGAUUUAUUUGAGAAAGCAUUUGAGAGAUUCCAAUCGGAGGAGAUGGAUAGACUGCCUAUUCUCAGACCUCUGUUAGUGUCAGACAGUAAUCAAGAUUCCACUUGAUGUAGCAGAGAGACCCCCAGGUUAACUUGACCUUCGAUAUGUGGAAAAGCUGCGCACAUUCUAUUUCUCCUUUCAGCAUCUCAUGCUCUCACUGUA